rnacentral:rRNA from 1 species
GCACUUUUGUCCGGAAAGAAAACCUUUGCACUAAUACUGUGAGGGGAUGACGGUACCGGAAGAAUAAGCACCGGCUAACUACGUGCCAGCAGCCGCGGUAAUACGUAGGGUGCGAGCGUUAAUCGGAAUUACUGGGCGUAAAGCGUGCGCAGGCGGUUCGUUAAGACAGAUGUGAAAUCCCCGGGCUUAACCUGGGAACUGCAUUUGUGACUGGCGAGCUAGAGUAUGGCAGAGGGGGGUAGAAUUCCACGUGUAGCAGUGAAAUGCGUAGAGAUGUGGAGGAAUACCGAUGGCGAAGGCAGCCCCCUGGGCCAAUACUGACGCUCAUGCACGAAAGCGUGGGGAGCAAACAGGAUUAGAUACCCUGGUAGUCCACGCCCUAAACGAUGUCAACUAGUUGUUGGGUCUUCAUUGACUUA